rnacentral:rRNA from 1 species
UACAGAGGUCCCAAGCGUUGUUCGGAUUCAUUGGGCGUAAAGGGUGCGUAGGCGGCGCGGUAAGUCGGGUGUGAAAUCUCGGGGCUUAACUCCGAAACUGCAUUCGAUACUGCCGUGCUUGAGGACUGGAGAGGAGACUGGAAUUUACGGUGUAGCGGUGAAAUGCGCAGAUAUCAGGAGGAACACCAAUGGCGAAGGCAGCUCGCUGGGACGUGACUGACGCUGAGACGCGAAAGCGUGGGGAGCAAACAGG